CAAACUCCUUUUACUUUGCCAAUGUGGAAAAGGAAAUGUCUUUUGAAAACUCAAGCAAACACAGUGUUUUGUCUUAUAACCUGUCAGAGGAAGAAGAU
rnacentral:snoRNA from 1 species